rnacentral:rRNA from 1 species
GAAUCUUGCCCAAUGGGCGCAAGCCUGAGGCAGCAACGCCGCGUGCGGGAAGAAGGCUCUCGGGUUGUAAACCGCUUUCAGCAGGAACGAAACUGACGGUACCUGCAGAAGAAGGUGCGGCCAACUACGUGCCAGCAGCCGCGGUGACACGUAGGCACCAAGCGUUGUCCGGAUUUAUUGGGCGUAAAGAGCUCGUAGGCGGUUCGGUAAGUCGGGUGUGAAAUCCCUGGGCUCAACCCAGGAAGUGCACCCGAUACUGCUGUGACUCGAGUCCGGUAGGGGAGUGCGGAAUUCCUGGUGUAGCGGUGGAAUGCGCAGAUAUCAGGAGGAACACCAAUGGCGAAGGCAGCACUCUGGGCCGGUACUGACGCUGAGGAGCGAAAGCGUGGGGAGCGAACAGG